GGUAAGAUGGCUGAGAGUCUAAGCGGUGGAUUGUAGCUCCACAGACAGGGGUUUGAGCCCUCUUCUUAUCA
rnacentral:tRNA from 2 species